rnacentral:rRNA from 2 species
CCUGAUGCAGCAACGCCGCGUGAGGGAUGACGGCCUUCGGGUUGUAAACCUCUUUUAGUAGGGAAGAAGGACUUCGGUUUGACGGUACCUGCAGAAAAAGCACCGGCUAACUACGUGCCAGCAGCCGCGGUAAUACGUAGGGUGCAAGCGUUGUCCGGAAUUAUUGGGCGUAAAGAGCUCGUAGGCGGUUUGUCGCGUCUGCUGUGAAAACCCGAGGCUCAACCUCGGGCCUGCAGUGGGUACGGGCAGACUAGAGUGCGGUAGGGGAGAAUGGAAUUCCUGGUGUAGCGGUGGAAUGCGCAGAUAUCAGGAGGAACACCGAUGGCGAAGGCAGUUCUCUGGGCCGUAACUGACGCUGAGGAGCGAAAGCGUGGGGAGCGAACAGGAUUAGAUACCCUGGUAGUCCACGCCGUAAACGUUGGGCGCUAGAUGUGGGGACCUUUCCACGGUUUCCGUGUCGCAGCUAACGCAUUAAGCGCCCCGCCUGGGGAGUACGGCCGCAAGGCUAAAACUCAAAGGAAUUGACGGGGGCCCGCACAAGCGGCGGAGCAUGCGGAUUAAUUCGAUGCAACGCGAAGAACCUUACCAAGGCUUGACAUAUACGAGAACGGGCCAGAAAUGGUCAACUCUUUG